CCGGAUCCCGCGCAGAGACUCGAGGAAGACUAGGUGGCCGGGGUCGCGGGGCUCUGUGUAUAGCCCCCUCACCCAGGGUCACAGGCACCGAGAGACUCAGCAGUCUGUCAACUCUGGAGCCCUCCCGCAACCGCACGCGGUUUCUAUCGUGAAGGCUGAAGAAGGCUCGCACUGAAAGCCAUUUGGACACGAGAAGAUAGAUAGGCUCCCCCAUGCUCAGUAGUGUUUACCAGAUGGGGUCAAACGAACUAACUCCAACUCAGCGGACAAACUGCUGGUAGUCGGCUCGCGGCAAUAAUAUAAAAGUACUAGAUGCCCACCUUCACACUGGCCACACACACGGGGCCAAGCGAGCCAUCAACGUUUCAAACCCGCUGUCCCACGCACAUCGGCGGCUAACCGCGUCAUCCACACGUGUCAACAUUUUCUUGUAAACACGGUCCUGAUUUGCCCCUUGAAUUGGAUGAUUGGCUUCUGGGAGCCACACCUACUGAAGCUCUCUGAGGGCUUCGCCUGGGUGCAAAGAUAAAGAGUUUUGCUUCUUCUAA